GACACAUAAUCCGCCCACCAACAUACACGCACGCAGGGGGGGUUUCCGAGUACCUAGAACCCCCCCCUGGUCUCCGAUCCAUCGGCGCUCCCGUCCGAUUUUAUUUAUUUUUUUAAAUGAGGAGAAGCUUAUGCAGCAGCUCCCUUCUCUUUACACUGUCCGAGUGACAGUGUGAACCUGGCUGCUGCCGCUGCUGGCUGCCUGUAGGGGGAGCUGCAGCGGAAGCGCGCAGCUCCUCUCAGGCAGUCCAAGGGGCCAUGAGACAGAGCUACGUGAGGCAGUGUCUGCUGUUUUCGGCUCCCACUGUAGUGUAAGAUUUGGAGGACAAACAAUUGAGAGGAAAGACACAGACAGCUUAAUUCAGGAUUAUUUUCAGCCUCAAUGUAGGAUCAGUUCCUGAAAGUUAUGUUCGACCUGGAGAAGGUUCCGUUUCAUCCAGCUUUAUGCAAGACAAGUGGCAUCAUCGGGAUGAAAGAAAAGACAUACUGUGCUGUAGACAUAUUUGAGGAAGAAGGAGGCAGCUGGGGAACCAGGAGGAAUUUUGAACUCAACAGCAGUAGAUAUAAUGAUUGACAAUUUGUAUUUCAGCAGCAUGGCUGUUUCCCCUGUAGACUGGGAUGGGAAUCUGGAGAACGCGGAGCCCCUGGUACUGGAUGAAUUGUCUGUCAGACGGUGCUUUGCCAGUUCUAAAUCAGGCUCUGGCAUCCUGGCUUAACCUGGUAGAAACACCCAGAAGAUGAGUCCGAACUUCAGCAGGACCAGCCCAGUCUUCGGUCGAGACUGGUAUGAAGCUGCUCGGCUUUACAGAACCCUUAAAAAAGCAAAUACAGUGGAUGUGUUGUGCAGGUGCAGGUGUCUGUUAACGUAUGUGGAUUCGUCGCCCGAUAUCACCUCUUCAAACGGAUAUCAUCGCUGGAACCCUAGGCAGAGAGACAAGGGACCCCAACCCCAGAGGAGCCAACACCAUAGUCACCACGCGUUAGGACGGUGACAGAAGGUUUUAUUAUUCAGUAACAAUUGGUCACCGCUGGAAGAUUAAUUGAUCAAAAGCAAUUGCAAUUACUUUUAAAGACAGUUACUGUAUAUCAAUAUCAUCAGAUAACACCAUGCGAAAGGAACACCUACAAGUACACAUUGCAUGUCGGUCAGAUUUUAUAAAGUUGUCAGGAAAACUAUGAAAGGUUGUCGGCCUUGAAGGCAGGGAGGCGGCAGAAUCCCAUAUGUGCUGAACGCACGUGGCUGCAGCCGAGCUGGGAUUGGAGGAGCUGGCCACCCUACUUCUCUGGCACAGGUUCCAGGAUACACAGCAGCUACCAUGCGUAUGUAUAUGUGCAGCAACUGAGAAUGGCGUUAUUACUAUUAGUAAAUAAAUAUUUUGUUUUUUUGUUUGUUUUUUCAUAAUGGGAAAACAUUUCCCUCAGCACUGUAAAGGAUAGAGAUAAAAGCAGACAUUCAUUAAAGAUCAUUAACGGAUGGCCAAAAAAAGGGCCAGUGUUCACAGAUACAGAACCAGCACAGUGUUCAGCAAGGUAAGCAGGAGGCCUGGGAUAUACAGUAGGUGGAGGAUGACUGCACGGGGAACUACAGCAAAGCUAUUCUCCACGUGGAGAAUCUUAACAGAUCAGGUGCCAGAUGUAAUAGCGGUGGUCGUGCAGGCGGGAUGCCAGCCAAAUUUGGACCUUUUAUAAAUGGGCAAUCAUGUACAGGGUAUGGUUUUGCCUUGUAAAUGAUUGCAGUCCCUACCCCAGUGGAGCUUACAAUCUGUAUUCCCUACCAGAUGUAAAAAGCACACACAUUCAUACGAGGCUUAAUUUUGUCAGGAGCCAAUUGACCUACAGGAAUAUUUUUGGAUCGCUGGAGGAAACUGGAAACCCACACAAAUACGGGAAGAAUAUACAAACUCGACACAGGGCCGUGGUGGGAAUCGAACCCAGCAUGUAAGAAUAUGAUAUUUAACAUAGCUGACUUACUAAACACUCUGUGGUCCACUUCAGGGGGGCGCGGCCAGGUGGUCACGUCACUAGGCCCCGCCCCGUCAUGGCAAAAUUCUUCUUCUGUUGGUGCUGGGAACUACCCUAAAAAUCGGGACUCUCCCGCAACUUGCCGGAGAGUAGGCAUGUAUGAAUAAACAGCACAGCAAUGACUAUAAAAUGUUCUAUCUUUCCUUAUUCUGGCAUUGAGAGGUCAUCAUAGAGAACAGCAGUUACAAGUCUUUUUUUGUAUAUACACCUCUAAUACCUACUGUUUCCUCAGCUUCAUAUUCUGUUACAAUUUACUUUCUGCUAAUUGCUACAUUACUGAGGAACUUGCAUGACAGGAGUGAAAUAGACACCCACAGCUAUUACUGGUGUUAACAUUGGCCAUUCCACGCUUCUAUGGUGUUGUCAUCUGAUAUUGCUGUAGCUGCAUCGCUUUCUACCAACACCACUAAAGUUGACAAAUUGAGCUUAUCACACCAUCAAUGCAAUGCAAAGUGUUAGCAGUUCAUGCUUAAGGGGUACAUUUACUAAGCAGUGAUAAGA